rnacentral:rRNA from 1 species
UAGGGAAUCUUCGGCAAUGGGGGCAACCCUGACCGAGCAACGCCGCGUGAGUGAAGAAGGUUUUCGGAUCGUAAAGCUCUGUUGUAAGUCAAGAACGAGUGUGAGAGUGGAAAGUUCACACUGUGACGGUAACUUACCAGAAAGGGACGGCUAACUACGUGCCAGCAGCCGCGGUAAUACGUAGGUCCCGAGCGUUAUCCGGAUUUAUUGGGCGUAAAGCGAGCGCAGGCGGUUUGAUAAGUCUGAAGUUAAAGGCUGUGGCUUAACCAUAGUACGCUUUGGAAACUGUUUAACUUGAGUGCAGAAGGGGAGAGUGGAAUUCCAUGUGUAGCGGUGAAAUGCGUAGAUAUAUGGAGGAACACCGGUGGCGAAAGCGGCUCUCUGGUCUGUAACUGACGCUGAGGCUCGAAAGCGUGGGGAGCAAACAGGAUUAGAUACCCUGGUAGUCCACGCCGUAAACGAUGAGUGCUAGGUGUUGGAUCCUUUCCGGGACUCAGUGCCGCAGCUAACGCAUUAAGCACUCCGCCUGGGGAGUACGACCGCAAGGUUG